UGGGCCAUGGUGUAAUGGCAGCACAAGGGUUUUUGGUGCCUUUAGUCUAGGUUCGAGUCCUGGUGGCCCAGCCA
rnacentral:tRNA from 4 species